UUUCUCUCUGAUAUUACCUAAUCGGUGGAGUCUUUUGUUCGCCUCCGUGGCGAUUGGAUGAGAUUUCUAUAACUACGAAUAUUUUUGAUCUUGGGGACUGCGUACGCGUUCUCCCUGUUUCUCUUUUAUUUCCAAAAUUGUCAUGACUGGCGUAGGAGAAGGAGUGCAAUAACUCUGCUCAGAACCAUAUAUUGAAUGAAUGAAUGAAUGAAUGAAAAACCUCGUCGGUGGUCACACGAAUUCAUCACUCCCAUUAUGUACUUGCGCCUGCUGACCCCGUCUCAUCUCGGAGAAACAUUAACUGUGCUUGACUAUAUGACAGCUUUAAUGUAAUGUAUACUCCAAUUAGCCUGAAGGAAAUGACUCGUCGAUGGACGUCAAAACCACGUCGAAAUGUCAAUUUGAAUUUUUCGACAUCGAUCCGAAGAAUCAUUGCUCACUAGGUUUGAUGCGGAAACUUGGUAACAAUACAAUAGUUAUAUAAAGGAUCUUUUCCAAUGAAUAAAUUUUGUUUUAUUGGCGGAUACGCGCGCACUCGCCCCCGCCCUCUUUCCCUCGCCUCGUCACCCCGUGUAAAUCAUAUAUCCCGUCAAAGGAAAGUCGACAUUUUCAAUGCGCGUCAGGCGCAUCGAUAUAUAACAAUACAAUAGUUAUAAAACCAAUUUAACGUUGUCAUACAAACGUUACACUUAUACUUAAUCAUCAUUUUUUUCUUUCCUCUUCCCUCUUACCAAUUGUCCGAUUCUUCAACCCUAGCGAAUAUUAACGUCCUAUUUUCAUUACUUUUGCGUAUUUCCACAUUUCUUUCUGACUCGUAUCUCCUUUCCGAGUAUUGUCGAAUCUAACGAAUUGUCAUCUCUCGCUGAACAUUCUACGAUAACUUUAGGAUACAAAUUUCUUAUGUCCUUCGAUAAGCUACAUGCUAAUAAAGCCUAAUGCAAGUUCUAA